GAUGAACGCUGGCGGCGUGCCUAAUACAUGCAAGUCGAGCGAACGGACGAGAAGCUUGCUUCUCUGAUGUUAGCGGCGGACGGGUGAGUAACACGUGGAUAACCUACCUAUAAGACUGGGAUGACUUCGGGAAACCGGAGCUAAUACCGGAUAAUAUUUUGAACCGCAUGGUUCAAAAGUGAAAGACGGUCUUGCUGUCACUUAUAGAUGGAUCCGCGCUGCAUUAGCUAGUUGGUAAGGUAACGGCUUACCAAGGCAACGAUGCAUAGCCGACCUGAGAGGGUGAUCGGCCACACUGGAACUGAGACACGGUCCAGACUCCUACGGGAGGCAGCAGUAGGGAAUCUUCCGCAAUGGGCGAAAGCCUGACGGAGCAACGCCGCGUGAGUGAUGAAGGUCUUCGGAUCGUAAAACUCUGUUAUUAGGGAAGAACAUAUGUGUAAGUAACUGUGCACGUCUUGACGGUACCUAAUCAGAAAGCCACGGCUAACUACGUA
rnacentral:rRNA from 1 species